rnacentral:rRNA from 1 species
UACGUAGGGGGCGAGCGUUGUCCGGAAUUAUUGGGCGUAAAGAGCGUGUAGGCGGUUCGGUAAGUCUGCCGUGAAAACCUGGGGCUCAACCCCGGGCGUGCGGUGGAUACUGCCGGGCUAGAGGGUGGUAGAGGCGAGUGGAAUUCCCGGUGUAGCGGUGAAAUGCGCAGAUAUCAGGAGGAACACCGAUGGCGAAGGCAGGUCUCUGGGCAUUAACUGACGCUGAGGAGCGAAAGCAUGGGGAGCGAACAGG